GGCCCCGUCGUCUAGCGGCUAGGACGUGAGGUUCUCAUCCUCAAAACGGGAGUUCGAUUCUCCCCGGGGUCA
rnacentral:tRNA from 1 species